rnacentral:rRNA from 1 species
CACGGGGGGAGCAAGCGUUGUUCGGAAUCACUGGGCGUAAAGGGCGUGUAGGCGGUCAAGUAAGUGGGGUGUGAAAGCCCCCGGCUCACCCGGGGAUCUGCAUUCCAAACUGCUUGGCUUGAGUACGGGAGAGGAUGAGGGAAUUCCUGGUGUAGCGGUGAAAUGCGUAGAUAUCAGGAGGAACACCGGUGGCGAAGGCGGCUCUCUGGGACGGUACUGACGCUGAGACGCGAAAGCGUGGGGAGCGAACAGG